rnacentral:rRNA from 1 species
CUAGAGAUAGAAAGUUACUUCGGUACAUCGGUGACAGGUGGUGCAUGGUUGUCGUCAGCUCGUGUCGUGAGAUGUUGGGUUAAGUCCCGCAACGAGCGCAACCCCUAUUGUUAGUUGCCAUCAUUCAGUUGGGCACUCUAGCGAGACUGCCGGUAAUAAACCGGAGGAAGGUGGGGAGUGACGUCAAAUCAUCAUGCCCCUUAUGACCUGGGCUACACACGUGCUACAAUGGUUGGUACAACGAGUUGCGAGUCGGUGACGGCGAGCUAAUCUCUUAAAGCCAAUCUCAGUUCGGAUUGUAGGCUGCAACUCGCCUACAUGAAGUCGGAAUCGCUAGUAAUCGCGGAUCAGCACGCCGCGGUGAAUACGUUCCCGGGCCUU